rnacentral:lncRNA from 1 species
GCACCAGGCGUAAGGCUGAAGGAAGAAACUAGUGGCUGUGGGUGACUAGGUCCCGGGAGGGUAGGCGUGCUGGGGCUUGCGUAAUCUAUCGUUUUCCUUUUGAGAUUCGCUGUGCUCUCCUGCUACCGUGCGCUUUUAUUCCGCCACCCAACCGGCUUCACCUGGUUUUCCGGAGUCAGCUCAGACAUCACCGCCUUACUAGAGUAAUUCUGACUUAGGGUUAAAAUAAAAACAAGUAGUGGAAAGGCAGCCUGGAAUCUAACUUGCUCUGAAAGUUGUGUAACAAAUUGAGGGAAAAAUUAAUUCUACAGGAAUUAUUAUGAAAGUGGGAUAACUAGUUUUUGUUCUUUAAGUGUUGUAAAUUUAAAUUCCAUGAACUCAGGAUAGAAGGUCGCUAGACUAAUAAAAUAUUGGUUAAAUGAUAAAAUUUUAAAAAGCAGCCUGGGAAAAAAUAAUCUGCAAAAAGACGAUAAAAAGAUGAUACACAUAUCGGCUCUUACAAAUCAGUUUAGAAAACGAAAGGUCGUUUAUUAGAUAUGACAAAGGGCUUGAGCGGGCACGGUGACAAAUAUAGAUUGACACUGAACGUUAGGGGAAAGGUUUGGAGACACUGAUAAUUUUUAAAGUACAAACUGUUAGGUGAAUGUGUGGAGUUCUUUUGUUUGUGUGUUUUGCUGUUGCAUUACCAAGAAGAACACAAGAUUUAAGUGUGAAGCAUCUGCAUUUGUAAAGUAAUUCAGUGGUGCAGGUUUCCCCAAAAACACAAGUCUUCAUUAACUUCCGUUAUAAUGCAUAUUUUGUCUUUUUAAGUGCUGGAGGAGGUUAAUGGUGAAAAAGAAAUAUGCUUCCUGCCCUCAUGAAGUGAACUGUCUAGGGGGGAAAAGUUAAAACUGAGUAAUUUAUAUUUACAAAUGAAUAAUUUGCAUUGUGAAAGAAAUAAACAGUGAUAUAGACUUUAUAGGAUCUGCUCCAGAAAAUGUGGCCAGCUUUCUUUGAAUUGGACAGAUGAGAUGGGUAAGCUACGUGAAGAGUUAGAGAUAAUAGUAUGUGCAAAUGUUAAGGAAGAAGGAAAUAGCUUAAGUUCAAGUUAUGGAAAUAUUUGCUGGUGAACAGUGAGUCAGGAGCUUGGCACAGUAUGAAAUUGGAGAAUAAAAGGGAGUUCCCGUCGUGGCGCAGUGGUUAACGAAUCCGACUAGGAACCAUGAGGUUGUGGGUUCGGUCCCUGCCCUUGCUCAGUGGGUUAACGAUCCGGCGUUGCCGUUAGCUGUGGUGUAGGUUGCAGACGCGGCUCGGAUCCCGCGUUGCUGUGGCUCUGGCGUAGGCCGGUGGCUACAGCUCCGAUUCAACCCCUAGCCUGGGAACCUCCAUAUGCCGAGGGAGCGGCCCAAGAAAUAGCAACAACAAC